AAACUAGGUCGUUAAGAAAAUCUCUGUUGGAGACGGCAGUUAUAUUUAUACUGAGAGGUAAUGUUUAUCGCCAUUUAAAUGUGAGUGCCCUUCGAACAGACGAUACUGCGCUUUGCACUCUAUAUUGCAAACAGAGAUCGAACUAUCUACUACUCUGGCUCGGAGAUUCCUACACCGGUGACAUAACAACAAAAUUAUGGGUGACGUUAUUGGUCGGGAUAUUGAAGGUAAUACUUAUACUCAGUAUGAUAUUUUAUAUGAGCUUAUUCAGGGUGAUAGUAGAUGGAUUAAACAAUGUUUUACACAAAAUCCACGUUUGCAACCAUCUUGAGGUGAUGAGCUUAAUGCUGAACUAUGGGGCUAAUGUCAAUAUACAAAAUGAUGAAGGUCAUAGUCCACUAUGUCUGGCCAUUAUUAUGAACUAUAUAAAUCUGGUUAAGCCGUUACUUGAAGCUGCAAGAGACAGUGU